rnacentral:lncRNA from 1 species
UAACAAGAUCAAUAGCCCUAUGGGCUGAGCCUUAUGAUGUCAAGCCCUGGCAGCUCCCUCCAGAUUCCUUAAAAGCAAGCACGCUUUUUGCUUUCUCAUCUGUUCAUUACCAGCAGUCAACUUUUGUCUUUUUUUGAGUGUAUGGAAGGGCUAUAAUUUAUUUACAAAUAAUAUUUAAUAUAGGCAAUGGCAGCCUGCAGCAGAAAGCCAGACAGACUCUUCUCAUCUCUCCUUGGAAUAGCAGAGCAUGGCCAACAAGGAGGUGCUGGAGGAGAAAGAAAAGCAGAUAAUCAGGUCACUCUUGGAUAGUGUCGGACAUU